rnacentral:rRNA from 1 species
AGUGAACGCUGGCGGUAGGCCUAACACAUGCAAGUCGAACGGCAGCACAGUAAGAGCUUGCUCUUACGGGUGGCGAGUGGCGGACGGGUGAGGAAUACAUCGGAAUCUACUUUUUCGUGGGGGAUAACGUAGGGAAACUUACGCUAAUACCGCAUACGACCUACGGGUGAAAGCAGGGGAUCUUCGGACCUUGCGCGAUUGAAUGAGCCGAUGUCGGAUUAGCUAGUUGGCGGGGUAAAGGCCCACCAAGGCGACGAUCCGUAGCUGGUCUGAGAGGAUGAUCAGCCACACGGGAACUGAGACACGGUCCAGACUCCUACGGGAGGCAGCAGUGGGGAAUAUUGGACAAUGGGCGCAAGCCUGAUCCAGCCAUACCGCGUGGGUGAAGAAGGCCUUCGGGUUGUAAAGCCCUUUUGUUGGGAAAGAAAGGCAGCAGGUUAAUACGCCGCUGUGCUGACGGUACCCAGAGAAUAAGCACCGGCUAACUUCGUG